GAGCAAACAGGAUUAGAUACCCUGGUAGUCCACGCCGUAAACGAUGUCUACUUGGAGGUUGUGCCCUUGAGGCGUGGCUUCCGGAGCUAACGCGUUAAGUAGACCGCCUGGGGAGUACGGCCGCAAGGUUAAAACUCAAAUGAAUUGACGGGGGCCCGCACAAGCGGUGGAGCAUGUGGUUUAAUUCGAUGCAACGCGAAGAACCUUACCUGGUCUUGACAUCCACGGAAGAAUCCAGAGAUGGAUUUGUGCCUUCGGGAACCGUGAGACAGGUGCUGCAUGGCUGUCGUCAGCUCGUGUUGUGAAAUGUUGGGUUAAGUCCCGCAACGAGCGCAACCCUUAUCCUUUGUUGCCAGCGGUCCGGCCGGGAACUCAAAGGAGACUGCCAGUGAUAAACUGGAGGAAGGUGGGGAUGACGUCAAGUCAUCAUGGCCCUUACGACCAGGGCUACACACGUGCUACAAUGGCGCAUACAAAGAGAAGCGACCUCGCGAGAGCAAGCGGACCUCAUAAAGUGCGUCGUAGUCCGGAUUGGAGUCUGCAACUCGACUCCAUGAAGUCGGAAUCGCUAGUAAUCGUGGAUCAGAAUGCCACGGUGAAUACGUUCCCGGGCC
rnacentral:rRNA from 1 species